CCUACGGGUGGCAGCAGUGAGGAAUAUUGGUCAAUGGCCGGAAGGCUGAACCAGCCAUGCCGCGUGAAGGUCAGUGCCCUAUGGGCGUUAAACCUCUUUUGUGCGGGAGCAAUAAUGGUCACGUGUGGCCAGACGAGAGUACCGUACGAAUAAGCAUCGGCUAACCCCGUGCCAGCAGCCGCGGUAAUACGGGGGAUGCAAGCGUUAUCCCGUUUUAUUGGGGUUAAAGGGUGCGUAGGCUGGGAGGUAAGGCAGCGGUGGAAUGCCCGCGCUCAACGGGGGGAAGUGCCAUUGAUACUGGCUUGCUGGAAUGCGGAUGACGUGGGAGGAAUGUGUGGUGUAGCGGUGACAUGCAUAGAUAUCA
rnacentral:rRNA from 1 species